GACGAACGCUGGCGGCGUGCUUAACACAUGCAAGUCGAACGAAGAGCGAUGGAAGCUUGCUUCUAUCAAUCUUAGUGGCGCACGGGUGAGUAACGCGUAAUCAACCUGCCCUUCAGAGGGGGACAACAGUUGGAAACGACUUCUAAUACCGCAUACGAUCUAAUCUCGGCAUCGAGGAUAGAUGAAAGGUGGCCUCUACAUGUAAGCUAUCACUGAAGGAGGGGAUUGCGUCUGAUUAGCUAGUUGGAGGGGUAACGGCCCACCAAGGCGAUGAUCAGUAGCCGGUCUGAGAGGAUGAACGGCCACAUUGGGACUGAGACACGGCCCAGACUCCUACGGGAGGCAGCAGUGGGGAAUCUUCCGCAAUGGACGAAAGUCUGACGGAGCAACGCCGCGUGAGUGAGGACGGCCUUCGGGUUGUAAAGCUCUGUUAAUCGGGACGAAAGGCCUUCUUGCGAAUAGUGAGAAGGAUUGACGGUACCGGAAUAGAAAGCCACGGCUAACUACGUG
rnacentral:rRNA from 1 species